rnacentral:rRNA from 1 species
UAGGGAAUCUUCCACAAUGGACGCAAGUCUGAUGGAGCAACGCCGCGUGAGUGAAGAAGGUUUUCGGACCGUAAAGCUCUGUUGUUGGUGAAGAAGGAUAGAGGUAGUAACUGGCCUUUAUUUGACGGUAAUCAACCAGAAAGUCACGGCUAACUACGUGCCAGCAGCCGCGGUAAUACGUAGGUGGCAAGCGUUGUCCGGAUUUAUUGGGCGUAAAGCGAGCGCAGGCGGAAGAAUAAGUCUGAUGUGAAAGCCCUCGGCUUAACCGAGGAAUUGCAUCGGAAACUAUUUUCUUGAGUGCAGAAGAGGAGAGUAGAACUCCAUGUGUAGCGGUGGAAUGCGUAGAUAUAUGGAAGAAUACCAGUGGCGAAGGCGGCUCUCUGGUCUGCAACUGACGCUGAGGCUCGAAAGCAUGGGUAGCGAACAGGAUUAGAUACCCUGGUAGUCCAUGCCGUAAACGAUGAGUGCUAAGUGUUGGGAGGCUUCCGCCUCUCAGUGCUGCAGUUAACGCAUUAAGCACUCCGCCUGGGGGAGUACGACCGCAAGGUUGAA